AGAGUUUGAUCCUGGCUCAGGACGAACGCUGGCGGCGUGCCUAAUACAUGCAAGUCGAGCGAGCGGAACUAACAGAUUUACUUCGGUAAUGACGUUAGGAAAGCGAGCGGCGGAUGGGUGAGUAACACGUGGGGAACCUGCCCCAUAGUCUGGGAUACCACUUGGAAACAGGUGCUAAUACCGGAUAAGAAAGCAGAUCGCAUGAUCAGCUUUUAAAAGGCGGCGUAAGCUGUCGCUAUGGGAUGGCCCCGCGGUGCAUUAGCUAGUUGGUAAGGUAAAGGCUUACCAAGGCGAUGAUGCAUAGCCGAGUUGAGAGACUGAUCGGCCACAUUGGGACUGAGACACGGCCCAAACUCCUACGGGAGGCAGCAGUAGGGAAUCUUCCACAAUGGACGCAAGUCUGAUGGAGCAACGCCGCGUGAGUGAAGAAGGUUUUCGGAUCGUAAAGCUCUGUUGUUGGUGAAGAAGGAUAGAGGUAGUAACUGGCCUUUAUUUGACGGUAAUCAACCAGAAAGUCACGGCUAACUACGUGCCAGCAGCCGCGGUAAUACGUAGGUGGCAAGCGUUGUCCGGAAUUACUGGGUGUAAAGGGAGCGUAGGCGGGGAGACAAGUUGAAUGUUUAAACUAUCGGCUCAACUGAUAGUCGCGUUCAAAACUAUCACUCUUGAGUGCAGUAGAGGUAGGCGGAAUUCCUAGUGUAGCGGUGAAAUGCGUAGAUAUUAGGAGGAACACCAGUGGCGAAGGCGGCUUACUGGACGGUAACUGACGUUGAGGCUCGAAAGCGUGGGGAGCAAACAGGAUUAGAUACCCUGGUAGUCCACGCCGUAAACGAUGGAUACUAGGUGUGGGAGGUAUUGACCCCUUCCGUGCCGGAGUUAACACAAUAAGUAUCCCACCUGGGGAGUACGGCCGCAAGGUUGAAACUCAAAGGAAUUGACGGGGGCCCGCACAAGCAGUGGAGUAUGUGGUUUAAUUCGACGCAACGCGAAGAACCUUACCAAGUCUUGACAUCCUCUGACGAUGCUGGAAACAGUAUUUUCCUUCGGGACAGAGAGACAGGUGGUGCAUGGUUGUCGUCAGCUCGUGUCGUGAGAUGUUGGGUUAAGUCCCGCAACGAGCGCAACCCUUAUCCUUAGUAGCCAGCAGUAAGAUGGGCACUCUAGGGAGACUGCCAGGGAUAACCUGGAGGAAGGUGGGGAUGACGUCAAAUCAUCAUGCCCCUUAUGGGCAGGGCUACACACGUGCUACAAUGGCGUAAACAAAGGGAGGCAGAGCCGCGAGGCCGAGCAAAUCUCAAAAAUAACGUCUCAGUUCGGAUUGUAGUCUGCAACUCGACUACAUGAAGCUGGAAUCGCUAGUAAUCGCGGAUCAGCAUGCCGCGGUGAAUACGUUCCCGGGUCUUGUACACACCGCCCGUCAAACAAUGGGAGUGGUGUUUACCAGAAGUCGUUAGCCUAACCGCAAGGAGGGCGGCGACCACGGUGAGCACCGUGACUAAUGUUAAGUCGUAACAAGGUAGCCGUACCGGAAGGUGCGGCUG
rnacentral:rRNA from 1 species